UACAGAGGUCUCAAGCGUUGUUCGGAUUCAUUGGGCGUAAAGGGCGCGUAGGCGGUCAGCACAAGUCAGUUGUGAAAUCUCCGGGCUUAACUCGGAAAGGUCAACUGAUACUGUGCGACUAGAGUGCAGAAGGGGCAACUGGAAUUCUCGGUGUAGCGGUGAAAUGCGUAGAUAUCGAGAGGAACACCUGCGGCGAAGGCGGGUUGCUGGGCUGACACUGACGCUGAGGCGCGAAAGCCAGGGGAGCGAACAGG
rnacentral:rRNA from 1 species